rnacentral:lncRNA from 1 species
UUUAGGAGCAAGGUCUAGGGUAGGGGCGGCAGGCGCCAUGUCCGGCCGGGAAGGUAAGUGUGUUCGGAUUGCGGGGACCGCGGGGAGGUGCUGAACGGCUGGGAAGGGCCCGGCGGCGGGGACGGGCUGACCGUGCUCCUGUCGCCUACAGGUGGCAAGAAGAAGCCCCUGAAACAACCUAAGAAGCAGGCCAAGGAGAUGGAUGAGGUGAGAGCGGGCUCGGAGGCGCGGUCGGAGCGGGCGUGCGGAGGGACUGGGAGACUUGCCUGGAGUGAAACUUGUGCUUCUCUCUAGGAAGAUAAGGCUUUCAAACAGAAACAAAAAGAGGAGCAGAAGAAACUUGAGGAGCUAAAAGCGAAGGCCGCGGGGAAGGGCCCCCUGGGUAAGUGAGGACCGAGGGGCGCUCAAAUCGGACACAUACUUUGAGCAUCUUUAGGGAUGAGGGCCGAGAUGUUCCCUGUAUCAUUGGUGAGCUGCGAGGUCUCAGUUCCUGGUGUCCGCCCCGGCGGAUCGCUCUAGCCAAUCUUGGAUUUGAAUGCAAGCCAGAACUGGAGAAGGUAAACCCUUAGCAAAACCCUGUACAAAUUAAGUAUCCCUUAUCUGAAAAGAAAUCUUACCUUCCAGGCAGUCUUGGGCUUUCAUUCCUAAGAAAGCUGCAGAAAUUUACCCCAGGCACAAAUUUAUAUGGUUAGGUUUAUGGAUAUUUUUCUUCCAUGCUUUCUUGCCCCAAAUUUGUAACUAACUGCUUAUUGAUUUUGUUGUGUUUUGUUGUGUUUCUUGGUACUGGGGACUGAAUCCAGGGGUAUUCUACCACUGAACUACAUACCCAGCCUUUUAAAUUUUAUUUUGAGACAGGGUCUGCCUAAUUUCUCAUUCUUUUUUUUUUUUUUUUAAGAGAGAGAAUUUUUUAAUAUUUAUUUUUUAGUUUUCGGCGGACACAACAUCUUUGUUUGUAUGUGGUGCUGAGCAUGGAACCGGGAUGCACGCAUGCCAGGCAAGCCCUACUGAGCCACAUCCCCAGCCCAUAAGUUGCUCAUUCUGAACUCAAAACUUGUGAUCCUUCUGCCUCAACCCCUUAAGUAGCUGCUAUCGGACAUGAGCCACCACACCUAGUUUAUUUAUUCUUUGUAACACUACUCAACUAAUAACUUUUACUUACUGCUCAUAUUAUUUAUAAUAAAUGAUUCCUCAUUUUGAGUUACUACUAGGUGUGCCUAGACUAUAGUCCAGGUUCCUUAGAGUGCUAUUGUUCCAUGUGCUUUUCUAGUCUAACCCCCCCACCAUUUUUUCUCUUUUCCUUCUUGUGAGAGGAAUGGAUUACAUUUUACUUGCUGUCCUAGUACUGUGUGCUAGUUGGAGGGUAAUAUACUGUGAAUUGAGCCCAGGGGUACUUUAUGGCUGAACUACUUCCCCAAUUCUUUUUAUUUUGAGACUGGGUCUCAAUAAAUUGCUGAGGCUGGCCUUGAACUUGUGAUCCUCCUGCCUGUACUUUCUGAGUCAUUGGAGUUAAGGCCUGCACCACUGCAACUGGCCAGGGCCUACUAAAAGCUGUUUUCAGAAUUAUAUCAGGUACCUUGCACCUUCCCUUAAUUUGCAACUGUAUAUAGGGAGAAGGUAAGUCCUUAGCAAAACCCUGUACAGAUUGAGCAUCCCUUACCUGAAAAUCCAAAAUGCUCCAAAAUCUGAAAUGUUUUGAAAAUUCCACACCUGGCCUCGUGUGGUGGCUUGGAGUCAAAAUGCAGAUGCACUAAACAUAAUAAAAUUACCUUCAGCUAUGUAUAUAAGGAUAUGCGGAGCGAAACAUUAAUGGAUUUUGUGUUUGUUUUGGUACUGAGAAUUGAACUUACCACUAAACUAUAUCUCUUUUUUUUUUUGGUAGGAUCUUGCUAAAUUGCCAAGGCUAACUUUGAACUUGCAAUGCUCCUGUCUCAGCCUUUAGAAUUUCUGGGAUUUACAACUUGGGUCCCAUCCCCCAAAAUAUUUUAUUAUGUAUAUGUAAAUAUUCAAAAAUCCACUGGGCACAGUGGUGCAUGCCUAUAAUCCCAGUAGCUCAAGAAGCUGAUGCAGGAGGAUCACAAGUUCAAAGCCAGCCUCAGCAACUUAGCAUGACCCUGUCUCUAAAUAAAAUAUAAAAAUGGCUGAGGAUGUGGCUCAGUGGUUAAGCACCCCUGGGUUUAAUCCCUGAUACCAAAAAAAAAAAAAAAAAUCCAAAACACUGCCAGGUGUGGUAGCACAUGCCUGUAAUCCCAGCAGCCAGGAGGCUGAGACAGGAAGAUCUCAAGUUCAAGCACAGUCUCAGCAACUUAAUGGGACCCUGUCUCAAAAUAAGAAAAGGGUUGGGGAUGUGUCCCAGCCCCUGGGUUUAAUCUCUGGUCUAGUAAAAAAAAAAACUUGUGGUCCCCAAUCGUUUCAGAUACAGGAUACUCAACCAGUACUAUUUGUUUCUCGUAGAGCAUCAUCUGACUUUUUUUUUUUUAACAUCUUUUUUUCUUUUCUUUAAUAUUUAUUUUUUAGUUUUAAGUGGACACAAUAUCUUUAUUUUACAUUUAUGUGGUGCUGAGGAUCAAACUCAGUGCCUCAAGCAUGCUAGGCAAGCACUACCACUGAGCCACAACCCCAGCCCAACAUCUUUUUUUUCUAAUUAGUUACAUGAUAGCAGAAUGCAUUUCAUUUCAUUAUACACAAAGGGAAUCAUGUAACUUUUUUAAGACUCAUUUUGUCAGAAUCCUUUUAUAUCUUCAUUCUGGUAUCAGGAAUUAAUUCUACAGUUAUUGCUAAAAUUACCUACAGGUUGCCAAAUGUAUUAUCAUUUGUUAAUUGGGUAAAAUAAAAUCAUUGAGUAAACCAGGCCCCAGGAACAUAAUAUGGAAUGGAGUGUAGUAUAAUGUGGCUCAAUUCAUACCUAGAUCUUUAGUCUGAUGGCUCCAACCU